rnacentral:rRNA from 1 species
CAGCAGCCGCGGGAAUACAGAGGGUGCGAGCGUUAAUCGGAUUUACUGGGCGUAAAGCGUGCGUAGGCGGCUUCUUAAGUCGGAUGUGAAAUCCCUGAGCUUAACUUAGGAAUUGCAUUCGAUACUGGGAAGCUAGAGUAUGGGAGAGGAUGGUAGAAUUCCAGGUGUAGCGGUGAAAUGCGUAGAGAUCUGGAGGAAUACCGAUGGCGAAGGCAGCCAUCUGGCCUAAUACUGACGCUGAGGUACGAAAGCAUGGGGAGCAAACAGGAUUAGAUACUCCAGUAGUCCCUGUCUCUUAUAC